AAUGUUGUACAGGUAUGUUUUGCUACAGACUUUGUAGUUUUGUUGAUAUAGAUUGUGCGGACUGCGGGCCAGGGAUGGGACUACACCCAGAGAAACGGAUGAGCCAGCCGGCGCGGCCCAUUGGGUAACAAGCAGUUCCAUAACAUACGGUAAAAAACGGAAAGGAUGCAAUUAUAAUGUAAUCGUUGCACCAAUGGGAACAAGAUACCCACGUAAAUGAACCUAUAGCCGGGGAUGCCACGAUAAUCAGUCGCGCAGCACGUAUGUGAGGUAUUUAAUCGCUUAAAUCUACCUUACCCUACCUAAAGAGCUCUCUGGGGGGCGGUAAGGGGCGAUAGAAAGGGUAUUUUAAGGCUGAUGCAAAAACAUUUGGAUCGUUUACACGCUGUUCGCGCUUUAGAAAGUUUUCUUGAGUGAAACUAGGCUUGAUCAGAAGUCUCGAACAUGAGUCUGCGUCUGACUCUGCCUGCUACUCGGGGCAAGGAAGGACGACAUGGAACUGACCCACUCUGAUGGUGUGGGCGUGGUCUCGCCCGUGGCCGCUUCUUAGCCUAUCCUUCUGGAUAGCGUCGGUGAUAAGUGCGCCGAGGGUAUGGCUGACGUGGGCCGCUCAGCCGAAACCUGGACUGGGUGUUAAGCUGUUGGCCUCUCUGGGCCGAGAGCUGGUCCCUUCGGUGCCGGAACCGUGGGUCGUUUCUUUUAUUUAUUCUCUUUUCCCUUAUUUGUUCGUCCUGUGUCGCAUGUAAGUUUUAAGUUGUUUAUUUUUUGUGUAUCUCGGCACAAUGUUUAAAUUAAAGUU